UGAGUCGUUCGGGUGACCGCGGCAUAGAAAUGUGCUGAGGAAAGUCGGGGCUUCACAGAGCAGAAUGCUGGCGAGAGCCAGGUUGGGGCGACCUGACGGAAAGUGCAACAGAGAGUAAACCGCCGAUGGGUGUUCACACACCACAGGUAAGGGUGAAACGGUGCGGUAAGAGCGCACCAGCGCAUAGAGCGAUGUAUGCGGCUUGGUAAACCCCAUUUGAAGCAAGACCAAGCAGGAGGAGGGCUGCUCGCCCGCCGAAAGGCAACCUCCGGGUAGGUCGCAUAGAGGGAUGGUCACCACUUGUCUAUGACAAGUACAGAACCCCGCUUACAGAAUGACUCACCGU
rnacentral:RNase_P_RNA from 1 species